AUUGAACGCUGGCGGCAGGCUUAACACAUGCAAGUCGAGCGAGCGGCGGACGGGUGAGUAAUGUCUGGGCAACUGCCUGAUGGAGGGGGAUAACUACUGGAAACGGUAGCUAAUACCGCAUACCAUCAGAUGUGCCGAGAUGGGAUGAGCUAGUAGGUGAGGUAACGGCUCACCAAGGCCACGAUGCAUAGCCGACCUGAGAGGGUGAUCGGCCACACUGGGACUGGGACACGGCCCAGACUCCUACGGGAGGCAGCAGUAGGGAAUCUUCGGCAAUGGACGCAAGCCUGAUGCAGCCAUGCCGCGUGUGGGAAGAAGGCCUUCGGGUUGUAAAGCACUUUCAGCGAGGAGGCGGUACUCGCAGAAGAAGCACCGGCUAACUCCGUGCCAGCAGCCGCGGUAAUUC
rnacentral:rRNA from 1 species